AUCGUAACUCCUGUCAGGCGGGACGAAAAGGACGUCGGUUAACAGCCGGCGUCUCUGACGGUACCGCCAGAGGAAGCCCGGCUAACUCCGUGC
rnacentral:rRNA from 1 species